rnacentral:rRNA from 1 species
UGGGGAAUCUUGCACAAUGGGGGCAACCCUGAUGCAGCGACGCCGCGUGAGCGAUGAAGCCCUUCGGGGCGUAAAGCUCUUUCGACCGGAACGAUAAUGACGGUACCGGAAGAAUAAGCACCGGCUAACUUCGUGCCAGCAGCCGCGGUAAUACGAAGGGUGCAAGCGUUACUCGGAAUUACUGGGCGUAAAGCGUGCGUAGGUGGUUGUUUAAGUCUGAUGUGAAAGCCCUGGGCUCAACCUGGGAAUGGCAUUGGAAACUGGGCAGCUAGAGUGCGGUAGAGGGUAGUGGAAUUCCCGGUGUAGCAGUGAAAUGCGUAGAGAUCGGGAGGAACAUCUGUGGCGAAGGCGACUGCCUGGACCAGCACUGACACUGAGGCACGAAAGCGUGGGGAGCAAA